CAUGAGCUCCGGAGCCAGUCAAAUCUGGAGAUGAGGUCUAGCUUGGCCUCUCUGUAGCUAUGUGACUUUGAGUAGGUCCUUCAACUACUGUGAAAUUCAGCUUUCCCUUUGGAAAGGGGGUUAGUGAUACCUACCAUAUCACCAACCUACAGGAUGAGAAUCUUCAGGAGAUCAGAUCCAACUUCUAUGUGCAAAGCCAACAACCGGAGAGUGACAGAGCUAGGACUCAAAACCACAGUGUUUCCGCAUGGAGGAAGAGAAGAAAGGGGAGAAUGGAGGGGAAACAUCUUUUAUACCGGACUCCUUGUUCCACAACCCCCACCAGCAACCCCAACCAGUGUGGCAUUUGUCUUCUGCAGUAACAUCAGGUAAGUGGGUGGAGAUUUCCUCUGUCAUUGCUUUUGGUCUCUAGGAGUCUAAACUGGGAACCAGGCUGCAAUCUGUUUUUAUGAAAAGAAAUAAAUAGGCAGUGUUAAUGAUACAUGAGAAUAAUAUAGGGGUAAGCCCAGAAAACAGUGUCUGGAGUCUUUCGUGUGAAAUGUUCUUUGUAUGUACUUAAUGCCAAAUACAAAACCUAACAGGUGUCAUGAGGGAGAAUCAGCUCUACCAGAAAGUUCCUGAUUGCCCAACACGAAGUGGCCAUGGUUGGGACAGUCAUACUUCACCGUCACCCUCUGACAUCAAACACGGCCUGGACAGUGAGUUCUGAGCACUGACCACUCUAAGGUAAAAAUCAGCACAGCAUACUUUUUCCAGAGGUCAUGUGUGUGCUUUUCUGUUUAUUAAUUUAUUUUUAAGCAUGAUUUUAUGUCUUCUCUUUUCUAGGCCCUUCUCUUCACUAGGUCCUGAGAACACAGUAUCAAAGCAGAUUACUGCCUUCAGUAAAUUGAUGUUAUACUAGGGAGACAGACACGUAAGUAAUCACAACGAAGACCAGGUAAACUUGUCUUGAGAAAGAGAGGGGAGCAAAUAGCUGAUGGAUCCCAGCUGUAGAAGGCUUCUAAAGAAGAUGAUAUUUAAUCUAGCAAGGUUUCCUUAGGAGGACAUUGGUUGGAAGGUCUUAAGAACUGCUACGUUCAUCCCUGAAGCUGAAACCUUUAAAAAGGAUAUAGGGAGGCUCCUGUGUUGCAGAUGCCUGAAACGGAUCCUUGAGAAACAAGUGGUCUGCAGGUACCUGUUGUAAACCAGGGGCUAAUGAAUAACUAGAGCCAAAGUGUCCACUCUGCCCUAUCCUAAGCUCAAAGGAUCUCUAACAACAUCCAUACCUCCUGGGCCACGGGUCAAGCCCUUGACAGUCACUUUUCACUUAUCACCUAACUUCAUUGUUACAACCACUGUUUCACAAGUGAAGGAACUGAGGCUCAUAGAAAUGAAGGCUUUAUGAAAAAGCCUCAAAGCUAAAGAGAAGAGUCCAGGAUUUAGUUUUCAAGUCCAGUGCUCUUGGCUCAAUACAGAGUCCUUCCUCCUCCCACUUAAUGCUGACAUUGCUCAUAGACCUGCUGUUAUUCUGAGUUCUGAAAUAAAUGUACCGGAGAACUUGGAGCAACACUUGCUGCUAUGGGACAAAAAGAAGACAGAAUUUUGUGCCUGGAGUGACUCAGGUUCAACUUCC
ensembl:lncRNA